rnacentral:rRNA from 1 species
UACGGGGGGGGCAAGCGUUGUUCGGAAUUACUGGGCGUAAAGGGCUCGUAGGCGGCCAACUAAGUCGGACGUGAAAUCCCUCGGCUCAACCUGGGAACUGCGUCCGAUACUGGAUGGCUUGAGUUCGGGAGAGGGAUGCGGAAUUCCAGGUGUAGCGGUGAAAUGCGUAGAUAUCUGGAGGAACACCGGUGGCGAAGGCGGCAUCCUGGACCGACACUGACGCUGAGGAGCGAAAGCCAGGGGAGCAAACGGG